GACGAACGCUGGCGGCGUGCCUAAUACAUGCAAGUAGAACGCUGAAGAGAGGAGCUUGCUCUUCUUGGAUGAGUUGCGAACGGGUGAGUAACGCGUAGGUAACCUGCCUUGUAGCGGGGGAUAACUAUUGGAAACGAUAGCUAAUACCGCAUAACAAUGGAUGACACAUGUCAUUUAUUUGAAAGGGGCAAUUGCUCCACUACAAGAUGGACCUGCGUUGUAUUAGCUAGUAGGUGAGGUAAUGGCUCACCUAGGCGACGAUACAUAGCCGACCUGAGAGGGUGAUCGGCCACACUGGGACUGUGACACGGCCCAGACUCCUACGGGAGGCAGCAGUAGGGAAUCUUCGGCAAUGGGGGCAACCCUGACCGAGCAACGCCGCGUGAGUGAAGAAGGUUUUCGGAUCGUAAAGCUCUGUUGUAAGUCAAGAACGGGUGUGAGAGUGGAAAGUUCACACUGUGACGGUAGCUUACCAGAAAGGGACGGCUAACUACGUG
rnacentral:rRNA from 1 species